rnacentral:rRNA from 1 species
UACGUAGGUGGCAAGCGUUGUCCGGAUUUACUGGGCGUAAAGAGCGCGCAGGCGGUCGUCCAAGUCGCGUGUGAAAGCCCCCGGCUCAACUGGGGAGGGUCACGCGAUACUGGUCGACUCGAAGGCAGGAGAGGGUAGUGGAAUUCCGGGUGUAGUGGUGAAAUGCGUAGAGAUCCGGAGGAACCCCAGAGGCGAAGGCGGCGUCCUGGCUCGCAUCUGACGCUCAGACACGACAGCAUGGGGAGCGAACGGG